CUGAAUUUGGCCUAUGUGCUAUAGUUUGCCACCCCCAAUCUAAAGCCUAUAGCUAUAAGGUCCUUUAUCAAACUUCAGACAGAUCUGAAAGUGUGCCACAUAGACCGUCUCUACUAGACAGGUUUCUAAGACUCUUGAAACCAUUGUUCCACAGCAUACUGAGUUUCAGGUAAGCCAUAGAGAGGUCUAUCACAAGGAAAUCACUGGGCAUGGAUUUUGUCCAGUAGAGUUAAUCUCAACAAGAUUAAAAGAAAGCCUACAAUUUUUUUUUGAAUAUUGUAUUGGUGAAAGCAUGAUCAGCUUGGACUGAAGGGGACAGAAAAGGUUCACCAUUAAACAAAACAAAAUACCACAAAACAUUCAGAACCUCGGAACUUCUAUUGGCAGGAUAUAAUGUGAUCUAUUUGGAAAGAACUGAGAUCAUAACAACAGUGAAGAUGAACUUCUAGUCUAUGAGCAAGUGGCGUUGCAAUGUUUGUAUCUCAGGAAGAAAACAUCCCAUCCAGUCCACAAAUAGCUAUCACAUUGAAACAAGCCAAAGAGUCAUCGUGAUCACAGCUAUCAAAAGAAGUAUUAAAAGGAUAGUAUGGAAUUCAACCCAGCAUGACCACAGAAGUGGGACGCUCAGUCAGCCACGCCUGUAUUGUGUUCAACCACGUGAGCUAAGAGCUCUAACUACUACGGCCAUAGUUUCAAAUCACCUGUCAUGAUGAGGUGCCAGAUUUCUUUAUUUUCUGGUUGAUUCAGAGACAGAAAGUAUUUUCAUUAAAGAUCUUGGAUAAAUAUGUCAAAUCACUAAUAAUAUUAAACACUGAAGACUUCAAUAA